GUGUCAGCCGCCGCGGUAAUACGGAGGGGGCUAGCGUUGUUCGGAAUUACUGGGCGUAAAGCGCACGUAGGCGGCUUAUCAAGUCAGGGGUGAAAUCCCGGAGCUUAACUCCGGAACUGCCUUUGAGACUGAUAGGCUUGAGUUCGGGAGAGGUAAGUGGAAUACCUAGUGUAGAGGUGAAAUUCGUAGAUAUUAGGUGGAACACCAGUGGCGAAGGCGACUUACUGGACCGAUACUGACGCUGAGGUGCGAAAGCGUGGGUAGCAAACAGGAUUAGAUACCCUGGUAGUCCACGCUGUAAACGAUGAUAACUAGUUGUCCGGGCUCAUAGAGCUUGGGUGACGCAGCUAACGCAUUAAGUUAUCCGCCUGGGGAGUACGGUCGCAAGAUUAAAACUCAAAGGAAUUGGCGGGG
rnacentral:rRNA from 1 species